AUUGAACGCUGGCGGCAGGCCUAACACAUGCAAGUCGAGCGGUAACAGAGAUAGCUUGCUAUCUGCUGACGAGCGGCGGACGGGUGAGUAACGCGUAGGAAUCUACCAAGUAGUGGGGGACAACAUGUGGAAACGCAUGCUAAUACCGCAUACGCCCUAAGGGGGAAAGCGGGGGACCUUCGGGCCUCGUGCUAUUUGAUGAGCCUGCGUAAGAUUAGCUAGUUGGUGAGGUAAGAGCUCACCAAGGCGACGAUCUUUAGCUGUUCUGAGAGGAUGAUCAGCCACACUGGGACUGAGACACGGCCCAGACUCCUACGGGAGGCAGCAGUGGGGAAUAUUGCACAAUGGGCGCAAGCCUGAUGCAGCCAUGCCGCGUGUGUGAAGAAGGCUUUCGGGUUGUAAAGCACUUUCAGUUGGGAGGAGAGGUUGAUGUUUAUUACACAUUAGCUGUGACGUUACCAACAGAAGAAGCACCGGUUAACUCCGUGCCAGCAGCCGCGGUAAUACGGAGGGUGCGAGCGUUAAUCGGAAUUACUGGGCGUAAAGCGCGCGUAGGUUGUUUGUUAAGUUGGAUGUGAAAGCCCUGGGCUCAACCUAGGAACUGCAUUCAAAACUGGCAAGCUAGAGUACAGUAGAGGGUAGUGGAAUUUCCAGUGUAGCGGUGAAAUGCGUAGAGAUUGGAAGGAACAUCAGUGGCGAAGGCGACUGCCUGGACUGAUACUGACACUGAGGUGCGAAAGCGUGGGUAGCGAACAGG
rnacentral:rRNA from 1 species